rnacentral:rRNA from 1 species
UUAAACUAAAGAGUUUGAUCCUGGCUCAGAUUGAACGCUGGCGGCAUGCCUUACACAUGCAAGUCGAACGGCAGCACGGAGCUUGCUCUGGUGGCGAGUGGCGAACGGGUGAGUAAAAUAUCGGAACGUACCCAGGAGUGGGGGAUAACGUAGCGAAAGUUACGCUAAUACCGCAUACGUCCUAAGGGAG